UGAUCUAGCAUCACACCUUGAACUUCUAAUGCCACCAAGAAGCUCCUCAAGUCCAAGUUCAGAGAAUAACCCCUUUUGAGGGCCAACCUUUGUAAUCUCAUUUGCAGAAGACCUGAGUCCUAGGACUUCAAACAGAUCGUUUUGAGCUACAUCAUUACUAACACAGCUUUGCGAAAUAUUCGCUGGUUGGUUGAAUGGAAUUUCAAGUAUAACAUCUUGAAGCAGACCGGAACGGGGUCCAUGAAGUCCUGAAUUUGUUGACAUCAACUCAAAUGGAUUAUCAACCUUGAAAAAUUUGGACAUGUCUGCAGAAAAGCCACAUAAGGUUUCUGUUUCCUUAAGCUCAGUGACACUGCUACUGUCUGAUUGUUGCAAAGAAUCAACCUGAGUGGCACCAGAUCUUCUUCCAGCAUGUUCUUGAAUUGAUUGAGCUAAUUCAACCAACC
rnacentral:lncRNA from 1 species